AUGGACCGCAAACGUACAGAGAGGGAAUUCACAGUGGGGGAGCAGGUCCUUCUGAAAUUGCAGCCAUAUGUGCAGUCCUCCGUCGUCAGUCGGCCAUGCCCAGAGCAGGUCCUUCUGAAAUUGCAGCCAUAUGUGCAGUCCUCCGUCGUCAGUCGGCCAUGCCCCAAACUUGCUUACAAGUUCUUUGGCCUCUACAAGAUCAUCAGUCGGGUGGGAUCGACAUCCUACAAGCUCGAAUUGCCCCCGGAAAGCAAAAUUCACCCGGUUUUCCAUGUGUCGCAGCUCAAGCCGUCCACGCCGGACUACUCUCCAGUCUUUAAUCAGCCGCCGGCGCCACCUGAUCUCACAAUUGGCAACUUGGUGUCGCAAGCCAUCUUGGAGCGUCGUUUGGUCAAGCAGGGGAACACGGCGAUUCUGCAGGUCUUGGUUCAUUGGCGCACCUUGUCGCCGGCGAGCGCGACAUGGGAGAACUACAAUGUCCUGCGGCAGCGUUUUUCGGACAUCGAUCUCGUCGCGGGAGCUCCUUCCCAAGGAGGGGCGAAUGUCACACCCUCCUCUCCUGCUGCAACCACAAACAAGACGGCGGACAGCAAGGCACCCUGGUGCGACUACGGGAGGAGAACGACAAGGGCCCACGUGCAAAGGAUGAAGACUAGUCUUCAGUUAGGUGGGUGUGUAUGA
rnacentral:rRNA from 1 species